rnacentral:rRNA from 1 species
AUUGAACGCUGGCGGCAUGCCUUACACAUGCAAGUCGAACGGUAACAGGUCUUCGGAUGCUGACGAGUGGCGAACGGGUGAGUAAUACAUCGGAACGUGCCCAGACGUGGGGGAUAACGAGGCGAAAGCUUUGCUAAUACCGCAUACGAGCUAAGGAUGAAAGCAGGGGACCGCAAGGCCUUGUGCGUUUGUAGCGGCCGAUGGCAGAUUAGGUAGUUGGUGGGAUAAAAGCUUACCAAGCCGACGAUCUGUAGCUGGUCUGAGAGGACGACCAGCCACACUGGGAGUGAGACACGGCCCAGACUCCUACGGGAGGCAGCAGUGGGGAAUUUUGGACAAUGGGCGAAAGCCUGAUCCAGCAAUGCCGCGUGCAGGAUGAAGGCCUUCGGGUUGUAAAAUGCUUUUGUACGGAACGAAAAGGCUCUGGCUAAUACCUGGGGCACAUGACGGUACCGAAAGAAUAAGCACCGGCUAACUACGUG